rnacentral:lncRNA from 1 species
GAACCCUUCUCCAUAAUCACAAUCACAACAAGCAUAACAAAAUUAGCAAAUUAGUUUUAUAUAUUCUAUGCUGAAAAUUAUACAAUUUUUAUCUUGAAAUACAAAAGUUGUAUAAUUUUGUUAUAUAUUUUUUAUAUAGAAUUUCAUUUUACGGUAGUUGAUUAAAUAUGUAGGCAAAAUAAAGAGGGGAAUGUACCUUAAAAUGUUUUGGGAGACAAUUUUGACAAUAUAAAGCAAAAUACCUCAUGUGAUGCUAUAAUUAAGAUGUUUUAUUUCUUUUUAAGACGUUAGUCUAUUACAACGGUUAGCUUUCAAGCUAAUUUCAAGUGCAAGAAAUAGAAAAAUAAGAUAUCAUAUGAAUUGUAGGACUUGUUAUUAUUGAAUAAAUAUAGUGUGUUAUUUAUACAUAGUUCAUUCCUAUUCAUUUUAACUAUCUUAUAAUUAACUAACUAACUAAUUAAGUGAUUAAUUAGUUAGUUAGUUAUCACAUACAACUAAUGCUAUUCUUGAAUUACACAAACUUUUAAUAUCAA